rnacentral:rRNA from 1 species
GGAGGGUGCAAGCGUUAAUCGGAAUUACUGGGCGUAAAGCGCACGCAGGCGGUUGGAUAAGUUAGAUGUGAAAGCCCCGGGCUCAACCUGGGAAUUGCAUUUAAAACUGUCCAGCUAGAGUCUUGUAGAGGGGGGUAGAAUUCCAGGUGUAGCGGUGAAAUGCGUAGAGAUCUGGAGGAAUACCGGUGGCGAAGGCGGCCCCCUGGACAAAGACUGACGCUCAGGUGCGAAAGCGUGGGGAGCAAACAGGAUUAGAUACCCUGGUAGUCCACGCCGUAAACGAUGUCGAUUUGGAGGCUGUGUCCUUGAGACGUGGCUUCCGGAGCUAACGCGUUAAAUCGACCGCCUGGGGAGUACGGCCGCNAAGNG